CCUACGGGAGGCAGCAGUAGGGAAUCUUCCGCAAUGGGCGAAAGCCUGACGGAGCAACGCCGCGUGAGUGAUGAAGGUCUUCGGAUCGUAAAACUCUGUUAUCAGGGAAGAACAAAUGUGUAAGUAACUGUGCACAUCUUGACGGUACCUGAUCAGAAAGCCACGGCUAACUACGUGCCAGCAGCCGCGGUAAUACGUAGGUGGCAAGCGUUAUCCGGAAUUAUUGGGCGUAAAGCGCGCGUAGGCGGUUUUUUAAGUCUGAUGUGAAAGCCCACGGCUCAGCCGUGGAGGGUCAUUGGAAACUGGAAAACUUGAGUGCAGAAGAGGAAAGUGGAAUUCCAUGUGUAGCGGUGAAAUGCGCAGAGAUAUGGAGGAACACCAGUGGCGAAGGCGACUUUCUGGUCUGUAACUGACGCUGAUGUGCGAAGACGGUGGGUAGUACAACAGGAGUAGUAUACCGUACGGUAGUACCGACCGACCGUAACGUAUAGAGUGACUAGU
rnacentral:rRNA from 1 species